rnacentral:misc_RNA from 1 species
CCUCGUUUUCCUUCUUUCUUCACUGUUGCCUUCUUUCUGCUCUUUUCUUUGUCAUUUUCUGAGACCCGGAACUUUCUUCCUAGAGGCUCCUCUCUAUCUGUAGAAGACGAUUCAGACAUCCUCACCUCACUAGAUCAAACUUUCACUUGUGGGUUCUAUGGGAUGGGAGAUAAUGCUUGUUGGUUCUCUAUUUGGUUCACGAAUUCUAAGGAGAGGACUGUUGUAUGGAUGGCUAACAGAGACAGACCUGUAAAUGGUCAGGGAUCAAGAAUUUCUUUGCGGCCCGAUGGUGCCAUGGUUCUAACUGAUGUUGAUGACUCCACCAUAUGGGAGACCAACACCACCUCCACUGAUGUUAGUAGAGCAGAGCUUUUGGAUACUGGGAACCUUGUUCUGAAAGAUACUCGUGGUAAAAUUCUGUGGCAAAGCUUUGAUUUUCCUACUGAUACACUUCUUCCAAAUCAGUUCUUCACAAAAAGCACAAAGCUGAUUUCUAGAUUGGGUCGAGGGAUGUAUUCUUCUGGGUACUUUAAUUUCUUUUUUGAUAAUAAUAAUGUUCUAACAUUGAUGUACGAUGGGCCUGAUAUUUCCAGCAUAUACUGGCCUGAUCCAGACUUCGGUGUGUUCGGUAGUCAUAGAACAAACUAUAAUAGCAGCAGAGUUGCUGUUUUUGACGAAAUGGGCAACUUCUUAUCAAGCGAUGAGUUGCAAUUCAGUGCCUCUGACAUGGGCUUUGGGAUCAUCAGGAGACUAACCAUGGAUUAUGAUGGGAAUCUCAGGCUUUAUAGCCUUAACAAUGAGACAGGAUUGUGGGUGACAACGUGGGAAGCUAUGUUGGAGCAAUGUAAAGUGCAUGGAAUCUGUGGGAGAAAUGCGAUUUGUGUGUAUACACCAAAGCCCAAGUGUUCAUGUCCUCCUGGCUAUGAGGUCACUGACCCUGGUAAUUGGCAUAAAGGCUGCAAGCCCAAGUUUAAUCAAACCUGUUCGCAGGAGUUGACAUUUGUGCAAGUAGGGCAGGUAGAUUUUUAUGGAUUUGAUCUCAAUUAUACUCAAUCUAUUUCAAGAGACACUUGCUCAAAAUUCUGCUUGGAAGAUUGCCGGUGCGUAGCAUUCAGUUAUAGGCUAUCAGGGGAUGGACGUUGUUACAUAAAAAGUGCACUUUUCAAUGGUUACAAGUCUCCAAAUUUUCCAGGAAGUAUAUAUCUAAAAGUGCCAGCGAGUGUGGGGAGAUAUGAAUCGGCAAUUCUCAGUGGAACCAAUCCCAUAUGCGGGUCUAAUGAUUCUACAAUCAUGAUGGGGCUUCCUUCUAUGUAUGACACUAUCAGUAAGAAGGUGAAAUGGGCUUAUCUCUAUUGGUUUGUUUCUGCCAUUGGCGUUAUUGAAAUACUCAUAGCAUCAGCUGGGUGGCUGCUUUUUGGAAGGCAUGGCGUGCCAGAUUCUGUGGAAGAAGGCUAUUGUGCAAUAACAAGUCAAUUUAGGAAGUUUCGUUACGCUGAGCUGAAGAAGGCGACCAUGAACUUCAAGGAAGUGCUUGGAAGGGGAGGAUCUGGAGCUGUAUAUAAAGGGGUUUUAGCAGAUGAAAGGGUGGUGGCUGUGAAGAGAUUAGAAGGAAUAUCAUAUCAAGGCGAAGAUGUGUUCUGGGCAGAAGUGAGCACCAUUGGACAAAUCUAUCACAUGAACUUGGUGAGAAUGUGGGGUUUCUGUGCAAAGGCCAGUCACAGACUCCUAGUUUACGAGUACAUGGAACAUCAGUCCCUGGACAAGCAUCUCUUCUCUCGAAGCUCUCUUGGGUGGAAAGAAAGAUUCAAAGUUGCUUUGGGGACAGCUAAGGGCUUGGCAUAUCUUCACCAUGAGUGUCUAGAAUGGGUAAUACAUUGCGAUGUGAAGCCUGAAAAUAUACUCCUAGACACUGAAUUUGAGCCCAAGAUUUCUGAUUUUGGUCUUGCCAAACUGUCCAAUAGGGGUGGCAGUAACUCUGAAUUAUCUCGUAUUCGAGGAACAAAAGGUUACAUGGCUCCAGAAUGGGCAUUAAAUCUUCCAAUCACAGCAAAAGUUGAUGUUUAUAGCUAUGGAGUUGUGAUUCUAGAGAUGGUGAAAGGAAUUAGGCUUUCAAAUUUGAUAACAGAGGAUGGUGAGGCGCAAGAAUCAGAGUUGACGAGGUUUGUGAGAGUGGUGAAGCCCAAAAUUAAUUGCAAAGAAGAGUCAUGGAUAGAGGAAAUAGUGGAUCA